ensembl:lncRNA
AGGUUAAACACAGAUUUUGCCCCGAAGGGCAUUAAUUAGGGACCAAUUUACAAUUAAAGUGUGAAGGCUAAUUUUAAGCUAAGUAAAACACUGACUUUCUAAGAAGUGUCGCUUUUAUAUUGAACCCUUCCACAACCACAAAUAACCCAGAGCUUGCCAUGUUCUAGGCACCGAGCAAGGCGCUUGAAGAACGUAUCGUUGUUAUUGCUGUUUUACAGAAGAAGAGACUAAGGCUGCAGACUGCUGAGAGUCCCUCAGCGUCAAGCCCAGGGAGACACUUCUGUGAGCCAGCAGGGUGUGCUGUUCAUCUCCAGUGGGAGUUUCAGCUGCUUCCUUCCUUGGGCCCUCACCACCACUGCUACUGACCUGUCACUUCUGCCUCCUGGUCAGAACACACCAUCUCUCCCUUGUCAAUCACAGACAGCAUCAAGACAGCACUUGGCAUCCUUUCAGCUAUCUGCAAGCCUUGCAGGGACUAGAAAGCAAGGUUCCACAUGACUGCAUACUGCACCCGGACAGAGCCACACCCCUGGACUAAGGCUGGUGGGGGAUAAUCUGCAGUCUUAAUUUUAAGUUAGAAACACCAAUAAAUUUAGUAUACAGACAACAGUGAACUUUCACUUACAGCAUUAACAUUGUUAAGGUCAUGAUGUACAGAGCAGUCACUUUCAACUUUGUUAAAUUAAUAAAACACGACAAUGUCUUCAGUUUACCGAUUUUAAAAUGCCAAUCAAAAAAAGUGCAAACAAAAUAACAAUCUAGCAGCAUAUCUAUUGCAUUUUUAGGAAAGACCAAUUCCUGGCCGUUAUCUCAGCCACGUAUUCAAAGUUGGGCUUUUCUUUGAUUUUUUUUUUUUAUUUUAAAGACAAACAGCAGAUGUAACCAUUAUAAUGUGCAUAAAUAGUCAUAACAGUCAUAAAUUGUCUUUAAUAGUCUACCAUACAAGUGUACUCUGCAAAUAAAAUGAAUUUUACUUUAAAAACUAAAGGCUGUUUAUUAUUUGGCCUUUGGUUCCAAUGCUUGAAAACCCCAAAAUAACAAAACUCAUCUCCCUUCCUCCCACCUCCCAGAAAGAACCCUGCAGCUCCCCAAAGUUGGUAGACUUUGGCAACCACUGAGCACAUGACACUACGUAUCAGCUUCUUCUGAUACUAGGAGCAUCUACACUUGUCACGUGUAAAUAAAAGUGGUCUCCAAGAAACCUUCCUUCACAAGACAUGUCUUAGCAUUUCAUCAGUUGUAGUAUAUUUUAUAUUGACACAAAAAGUGCUUAUCAGUUCAAAUGAUAGAAAAAAAAAGACAAAUUAAAAUUUUGCAUUAAGAUUUAAAAUUAUACCAUAUCCCUCUUCGGCAUGUGCCUUUCCAGGAAUUCUUGUUUCUGAGGUCACUCAUUUUACUCCCAGGGACUAAGCGACCCCACCUUUAGUGCGGCCACAAGCUGUUUGGCAUCUAUUGGUCACUAUACCACAAUUAUCAUUCUACAGUCAGUUUACUGUCAUUACUUAGACAACCUGGUAAUCGGAAGCCACAAUACAUUUGUUUUUUUAAAAAACUGAAUUAAAAAAGGAAAAAAAUGGUAUAUUUCAACAAUAAAACUAGCACAAGAAACGUUUCUAUCUGAAAGGCAAGUUGAUACUUAGCUUUCUCUUUAACAGUGUUCAGACCUUUACGCAAGCAAUUCAAGAAAGUCUUAAAAGAGUCUUGACACAACAUAGGAUAUUAAGUUAUCACCAGUACUACAUUAGUGGUCAGUCAAAUCUGGUAUGUAAAAGUAAUGACAUUAGGGAAGUUAUGCUUAGACACAGUACAACAAACAUUCAUAUAAAAAAAGUAAACUCCACAUGGUGAACUGUGGUUUUUUCCCUUGGUUUGACAACAUUUUAUACAUGAAAUUCAUGGUAGUGUUUGCAUUUAAAUGCUGUCAUAUAUAAAAUUAAAAGUGCAAUUUCAAAUCCACAGAAAUCAUUUCCAGAAUGGUGGUAUGACAUGACAAUGUGCAUGAAUUUGCCCUAGGUGGGGAGACACCUGAAACUCUUUUUUCCAUAAGAAAAAAAAUGCUACAUUUUAUGAAAACACAUAACAAGAGAAAUGUAUCAUUUCCAUUUUCGGUAUAAAACAUUCACGCUUAUCUGUCCAUCUGAUAGCACUGAUCAGACAGGAAAGCUAGGAAAAGACCCUUUUGCAUCAGUGGAACUCCUUGAAGCUUUCCACAAAUCAUAAGGCAGGACUUGGUACGAGCCAAUUAACCAGAGUGCAAUUACAUUAAAAACCUCCCCCAAACUUUCUGUGGCACAUUGCAUUAUGGUAAAACCAGAGGUUGAUCAUCCAUUUUCUGUUAGUUAGGCCAGCCCGUGGUAGUAAAAACAAAAAAUUUAAUUUAAAAAACAAAGCAGGAGCUAUUUAGACAACAAAAUUCAAAGUAAACUAAUUCUGUAACUGCUCACUUUGAAGACAUCCCACAGUGACUGUCUGCCCCACAACACAUAUCCAUGGAGCCCAGCACCUCUCAUGAGGACAUAGCCUGAGCCAAGCACAUGGGUCCCAGGCAGCUGCCAUCGUUCCCACCCCUGGGUCAGCUCCACCUGACUCAGGCACCCCCACAAUUAGUACAUCUUUCAUAAGUUAAAGAUGCAUUCGAAAUAAGCCUAAUUCCCAUUUU